GUUGACAGCCAUACCACCCUGAACAUGCUUGACCUCAGCUGCUCUCAGAUGCUCAGCAGGGUCAGGUCUGGUAGUACUUUGAUGGGAGGUCAUCUUAAGAUGACCAUCCACAUUCCAACC
rnacentral:rRNA from 1 species